rnacentral:lncRNA from 1 species
AAGGGAAGGGAAGGGAAGGGAAGGGAAGGGAAGGGAAGGGAAGGGAAGGGAAGGGAAGGGAAGGGAAGGGAAGGGAAAUAAUGUUAACUGAUUUUAGGGUAUUAAUCCAAAUUUUUAUGAGUAUCUAUAGCACGUUGUGCAUUCUCAGGAAAACAGUAACUCAUGUAACCAGUGGUGCCCCUUUAAAAGCCUAUUCUCUGAUGCCUUCAGAAAGACCAACACCUCAUCUCUCUCAAAUGGGGCAGAUGUACAGCAAUACCACAUGGGGUGGCAAGUUCCCCCUCAAAAACACAGCAGAUGAACCGACGUGUGCAGCGCGGGCAAAAUAAUCAGUUCUCUUCAUGCAUCCAGGGGCAUCAAAAAUCUCAUCUGCCUUCCCAAAAGCACCCACAAUAUGCCAUUAGCCCAGGGCAAGGGAGUCAGGUGCUUCCCCCAAAGCCAUUGCACCCAGCCGGGUGGUGGCAGAUGGCUGCUGGGGACAGUUUUCAGCAGGGAAAAACAGGAAUAAGAGCGUGCCCCGGGGCUCGACUCGUCUCUGGAUGCUCCCUCCUGAGCCCCAGCAUGCCUGGCAGCAGCAGCACCUGAGGGUCUCCGUUCCCCCAGCAGAGCCUCACGCCAGGGCAGCACGUGGGCUCCUUCGGCAUCACUUAGGCUACAAGAGUGGAACAUGGUCAGUUGGCAAAACUCAUGAAAGCCUUCCUGUACCACCACACGGCUGGAAGAGCACCGUGUGCAUCACUUCCCAAGCUCAGAGCCACGCCACACCAUGCAAGCCCCCCAGGAGAGCUGCAUUUUCUCUUUUUGAGGUGUUGUACUGCUGCACAACGUGCGCUCGGCCCCCUUGUGAGAGCAAUUCCGCAACCAAGCUGCUGAGCCAGAGAGGGCUGCUUUGCUUCAUCUGUUACUGCCACAGCUUGUUAAAAGGACUGAUUUCCCACCGCGGUGCCGCUUGUUUUCAUGUGAUCAUUUUCAUUAUCUCUAACCAGCCUUUUGUAAACCACUACUCUGCAAGAAACCCCCAAAUUGACCACAGCAGAGACCUAGGCACGCAUGGUGCUCAUAUUCAGGUAGAUUCAAAAAUCUUCAUGAUUUUCCACAUCGGUGGAAAAUCAGCUUUUCCCCUCAAGAAUCAAAAAG